rnacentral:rRNA from 1 species
AUACGGAGGGUGCAAGCGUUAAUCGGAAUUACUGGGCGUAAAGAGUACGUAGGUGGUUUGUUAAGUCAGAUGUGAAAGCCCCGGGCUCAACCUGGGAACUGCAUUUGAAACUGGCAAGCUAGAGUAUGAUAGAGGGGGGUAGAAUUUCUAGUGUAGCGGUGAAAUGCGUAGAUAUUAGAAGGAAUACCAGUGGCGAAGGCGGCCCCCUGGACCAAUACUGACACUGAGGUACGGAAGCGUGGGUAGCGAACAGAAUUAGAAACCCUAGUAGUCC